rnacentral:rRNA from 2 species
CCAUGCAAGUCGAACGGCAGCACGGGGGCAACCCUGGUGGCGAGUGGCGAACGGGUGAGUAAUACAUCGGAACGUGUCCUGUAGUGGGGGAUAGCCCGGCGAAAGCCGGAUUAAUACCGCAUACGCUCUACGGAGGAAAGGGGGGGAUCUUAGGACCUCCCGCUACAGGGGCGGCCGAUGGCAGAUUAGCUAGUUGGUGGGGUAAAGGCCUACCAAGGCGACGAUCUGUAGCUGGUCUGAGAGGACGACCAGCCACACUGGGACUGAGACACGGCCCAGACUCCUACGGGAGGCAGCAGUGGGGAAUUUUGGACAAUGGGCGAAAGCCUGAUCCAGCAAUGCCGCGUGUGUGAAGAAGGCCUUCGGGUUGUAAAGCACUUUUGUCCGGAAAGAAAACCUCCGCCCUAAUAUGGUGGGGGGAUGACGGUACCGGAAGAAUAAGCACCGGCU